GUGAACGAUUGGUCGCUCUUUGCUCGCAAGAGUGACUGUUAAUCAAUCACCCUGUGCACCGUGACCUUUUUUUCAAAAGCUCAUUACCAGUUGAAGGGAUGUUUGAAAUCAAUUAACAAAGGCA
rnacentral:misc_RNA from 1 species